UACGUAGGGUGCAAGCGUUGUCCGGAAUUAUUGGGCGUAAAGAGCUCGUAGGCGGUUUGUCGCGUCUGCUGUGAAAACUGGAGGCUCAACCUCCAGCCUGCAGUGGGUACGGGCAGACUAGAGUGCGGUAGGGGAGAUUGGAAUUCCUGGUGUAGCGGUGGAAUGCGCAGAUAUCAGGAGGAACACCGAUGGCGAAGGCGGAUCUCUGGGCCGUAACUGACGCUGAGGAGCGAAAAGCGUGGGGAGCGAACAGG
rnacentral:rRNA from 1 species